rnacentral:tRNA from 1 species
GGAGGUCUGUAGCUUAGUGGCAGAGGAUCUGCUUUGCAUGCAGAAGGUCCCUGGUUCAAUCCCCAGCAUCUCCA